rnacentral:rRNA from 1 species
UACGUAGGCACCAAGCGUUGUCCGGAUUUAUUGGGCGUAAAGAGCUCGUAGGCGGUUCGAUAAGUCGGGUGUGAAAACUUUGGGCUCAACCCAAAGCGUGCAUUCGAUACUGUUGUGACUAGAGUUCGGUAGGGGAGUGGGGAAUUCCUAGUGUAGCGGUGAAAUGCGCAGAUAUUAGGAGGAACACCGGUGGCGAAGGCGCCACUCUGGGCCGAAACUGACGCUGAGGAGCGAAAGCGAUGG